rnacentral:rRNA from 1 species
GAUGAACGCUAGCGGGAGGCCUAACACAUGCAAGCCGAGCGGUAUUGUUUCUUCGGAAAUGCGAGAGCGGCGUACGGGUGCGUAACACGUGUGCAACCUGCCUUUAUCUGGGGGAUAGCCUUUCGAAAGGAAGAUUAAUACUCCAUAAUAUAUUGAACGGCAUCGUUUAAUAUUGAAAGCUCCGGCGGAUAGAGAUGGGCACGCGCAAGAUUAGCUAGUUGGUGAGGUAACGGCUCACCAAGGCGAUGAUCUUUAGGGGGCCUGAGAGGGUGAUCCCCCACACUGGUACUGAGACACGGACCAGACUCCUACGGGAGGCAGCAGUGAGGAAUAUUGGUCAAUGGGUGCAAGCCUGAACCAGCCAUCCCGCGUGAAGGACGACUGCCCUAUAGGUUGUAAACUUCUUUUGUAUAGGGAUAAACCUACCCUCGAGAGGGUAGCUGAAGGUACUAUACGAAUAAGCACCGGCUAACUCCGUG